rnacentral:tRNA from 1 species
GGGCCUGUGGCGCGAUGGAUAGCGCAUUGGACUUCUAAUUCAAAGGUUGUGGGUUCAAGCCCCACGAGGGUCA